UCCGGCGGCUUUGGCGGCGAGGAUACACCCGUACCCAUCCCGAACACGGAAGUUAAGCUCGCGUGCGCCGAAGAUACUUGGCUGGCGACGGCCCGGGAAAAUAGGGCGCUGCCGGAC
rnacentral:rRNA from 1 species